rnacentral:rRNA from 1 species
UACAGAGGUCCCGAGCGUUGUUCGGAUUCACUGGGCGUAAAGGGUGCGUAGGUGGUGAGGUAAGUCGGAUGUGAAAGCUCCAAGCUCAACUUGGAAAUGGCAUUGGAAACUACCUUGCUAGAGGGUUUGAGGGGGGACUGGAAUACUUGGUGUAGCAGUGAAAUGCGUAGAUAUCAAGUGGAACACCAGUGGCGAAGGCGAGUCCCUGGAAAACUCCUGACACUGAGGCACGAAAGCUAGGGGAGCAAACCGG